CGGGAGAGGUAGGGAGGUAGAAUUUCAGAAGCGCUUCACUUACCGUAACCAUGUUUAAUACACACGUAGCCUCCUUUCCUCAAGACUCAGAUAAGUAGAUCUGAGUCUCAAGGGGUUCAGAUACGUAGAUAAUUAUUUUAAGGGAUGUUACGUCACAGUUCUUUGGCUGUUCAAGCUCAACAACUCAUGUUUAUCUCGGAGGCAUGAUUUUACAAACCAUAUCUUAUCACUCAUUACCCUCACGGCUGGGACCCGGGAUGCCCAGAAUGGGGUCGCGCGUGGCCACGGCGGUUGUGACGCGGAGACUCGGGGUCGCGAACCGCCACCCGCUCCCGUCCCCAUGGCGUCCGCCUCCCGCGCCCCCUCGAAGCCCCCUCAGGUUCUAGUCCUCGACCCACCCACGGACCUCAAGUUCAAAGGUCCCUUCACCCAGUUAGUCACGGCGCAUCUUAAACUGCGCAACCCGUCGGCGAGGAAAGUGUGUUUCAAGGUGAAGAGCACCAGCCCUCGGUGCUACUGCGUGUGGCCCAACCGCGGAGUCAUCGAGCCGGGCUGCACGGUGAUGGUCGCCGCCACGCUGCUGCCUGUCUGCUGCGGCUCCAGCUGGGAGGUCAAACACAAGUUCAUGGUGCAGACAGUGUUUGCUCCUCCGGACACCUCGGAUCUGGAGGCCGUGUGGAGGGACGCAAACCCCGGGGAACUAAUGGAUUCGAAAUUGAGGUGUGUAUUUGAAGCACCAACAGAAAGUGACAAACUGGACGAAAGCUUAAGACUCAGAAAUGCAACGCAUCCCGACAAGCCCGGCUCCUCCUCCUGCACGUCCUUGAAGCUGGAUUGCACCACGCCUCUUCCUGUUGUUCUGCUGAUGAUCGGAGCAGUUUUCUUUGGAUUCUUUCUAGGGAGAUUCGUCUUUGUAGAGUGAGGCACGCACAGCACGAUUCCUCCCACCCUACCCCAACUCCCCAACUUAGACCAGAAAAAAAAAAAAAAAAAGAUUUCUUUACUCACCAUCUCAUUGGAAGUAUGGCCCGCCCGCCCGCGGUGACAAACUUUCUGUGCCAGUAGAGUCACUUAGGCUUCGCCCCUAAUGAUGUCUUGUGAUUGGAGGACGCCAUAAAUGAGCAAACCAAAUAAAGAACUAUUGGGCUACUGGACCGAUUGCCUAGUAUCGGAUCAUCACAGGCCAGUUGCCCAUACAGUGCGUGGUGAAACGCAACAAGA